rnacentral:rRNA from 1 species
AGUUUGAUCCUGGCUCAGGAUGAACGCUAGCGGCAGGCUUAACACAUGCAAGUCGAGGGGCAGCGCGGGUAGCAAUACCUGGCGGCGACCGGCGGAAGGGUGCGUAACGCGUGAGCAACAUGCCCGUAAUCGGGGGAUAGUCAUUGGAAACGAUGCGUAAUACCCCAUAACCACCGAAGCUGCAUGGCUUUGGUGUAAAAGUCACGGCGAUUACGGAUUGGCUCGCGUGGCAUUAGCUAGUCGGCGGGGUAACGGCCCACCGAGGCGACGAUGCCUAGGGGUUCUGAGAGGAAGGCCCCCCACAUUGGGACUGAGACACGGCCCAAACUCCUACGGGAGGCAGCAGUGAGGAAUAUUGGUCAAUGGACGGAAGUCUGAACCAGCCAUGCCGCGUGAAGGAAGGCGGCCCUAUGGGUUGUAAACUUCUUUUGUAGUGGAGCAAUAAGGUCUACGCGUAGACCGAUGAGAGUACAUUACGAAUAAGCAUCGGCUAACUCCGUGCC